AAACGUGUGUGCCACGUCAGCAGCCACGUCAGCAGGCCCAGUCAGCAGGCCUGGCCAACCAGGACCUGCCACGUGGCAAAACCACGUCGACCGGGGACGGGCCACGUUGGCGAUCCGCGUGCGCGCGAUCGGACGGCUCAGAUUUAAUCGCACGGACGGCCAAGAUUUAAUCAAAAACGGACGGCCCAGAUUAAAACAAAAUGGACGGCUUAGAUCAAAACGC
rnacentral:lncRNA from 1 species